ACUAAUUUUAGAAAUUUACUUUUCUACAUUGUAUCACUUAUUGUGAUUCGGUGAAGUAUGUGUCGUUUUGUGUAAUAUAAAGUUUUUAGUAUCGAAAAUUUCAAAAGUUAACAAACAUGUGUUUUUUGUUAAUAUUUAUUUUGUUAUUUUCAACAGCAUCGAAUAAACAAAUACGGUUAAAAAAUAAUGGGAGGUUUCCGGAUAAAUUUACAUUCGGUACAGCAACAUCGGCGUAUCAAACCGAAGGUGCUUGGAAUGUAGAUGGAAAAGGCGAAAGUAUUUGGGAUAAUUUCAUGCAUAAAGUACCAUCACCAGCAUUAUAUGGUGAUACAGGCGAUAUCGCAUGUGAUUCUUAUCGCAGAUAUAAAGAAGAUAUCAGAAAUGCCGCAGAGCUCGGAGUUCAGAUUUAUAAGUUCUCUAUCGCUUGGAGUAGAAUUCUACCAACGGGCUAUGCUAACUUUAUAAACGACAAAGGUCUCACUCAUUAUAAAAAUGUCGUUAAAGAAAUAUUAAAAUAUAACAUGACACCUGCGGUAACAAUCUACCACUGGGACCUGCCGCAACGACUUCUCGAAGAUGGUAUCGACUGGACAACAAACGAUUUGAUUCCUCACUUCGUAAAUUAUUCUAGAAUUCUUAUUAGAAAUUUACCUGAAGUAGGCUAUUGGAUUACUAUUAAUGAGCCUAAGCAGAUAUGUCGUUUGGGAUAUGGGAUUGGUGUAAUCGCUCCUGGAAUAAAAAGCAAUGGAGUAUUAGAAUAUCAUUGUGCUUAUAUUGUGUUAAAAUCACAUGCCGCCGUUUAUCGUAUGUUUAAAAAAGAGUUUCCUCAUUACACAGCUAAAAUGUCACUUGGCUCUGAUUGCCAGUGGAUACGUCCAUUAACAAGCUCUCCGUCCGAUAUAGAAGCAGCAACUAGGCAACUACAGUUCGAGUGUGGUAUGUACUUCCAUCCUCUUUUUAAUGGUGAUUGGCCUCAAAUACUUAAGCAAAGAAUACAAGAAAGAAGUUUCGCUGCGAACUUGAGUAAAUCAAGACUUCCUGAAUUUACUGACGAAGAAAUUCACGAUAUCAAAGGAAAUUAUGACUUUUUAGGAAUAAAUCACUAUUAUACAAUAUUUACCAAAAACGGAAUUGAAUCUCCUCCUAAUAUAACUAGUUAUGAAGCAGAUGUUCGUGUCACCGAUAGUUUUGAUGUAUAUAAACCGGAUGGUAUAUAUGAACUUUUAAAAUGGCUUACAAAAGAAUAUGGAUAUCAUGAAAUUUUAAUAACGGAAUUAGGAUUGGGUCAAAAUUUUACGUAUUUAAAUAAAAUUAAAACACCUCAUCUACAAUCCAAGCCUCCUUAUGUAAUAACAGAAAAUAUUUACAUAAAUGAUAUCGAGAGGAUUUAUCAUUUUAAAGGCUAUAUGUGCUAUAUUCUUGAAGCGAUUACAGAUGGUAUUAACGUCAUUGGAAUUAUUAUUUGGAAUCUUAUGGACGAUCUCGAGUGGAUAUUUGGUUACAAUGAGAAAAUUGGUGGUCGACGCCAAAUUGUUGAAAUCGAUGAGGCUAAAUUCGGACAUAGGAAGAGUAAUUGAAGGAAAAUGGAUUUUUCGAGAUAUCGAGAGGGAGUCAAAUUUUUUUUAUGGAACCAGUAAUGGAUCGGAGGGAAAAAACAUUGAUCAAAAGAAGAGUUAAGUCUGGAGGAUUGCUGGACCUAUGAUUGCUUAAAUGAUGAAGUGAACCGCACCUAUAAUUUUAAUGACCCGGAUUGUGGAGCUCAUACUCAACAUAUUGAGAGAAUUUGGAGAUCAGAGCGAGCCUGUAUUUCAAGAAUCGGAUGCAAGGAGGAGAAAAGGCUAGGAUAUAAUGCAGAAUUUAUGUUAAGAUUAAGAUAUAGCAAUCACUGUCAAAGAUUGCAUAAUUUUUUUAUUUUGUUACAAGAUUUUUUCGAAUUGAUUUAUUUUUUGAAUACAUUCCAUAGUUAAUUUCCUUUAUUUUUGUCAUUUUAAGAUCAUUCAUUGAAAAUUUUAUCUAUUUUCUGCUUAAAAUACAAUUAAAUUAUAUUUUUUGCCAUUAAACAUGAAAAUAUCACAUUUUGAACUUAUAAAUAUUAUUUUAAGUUAGUUAACAUUCAAUAUUCAUCAGUUGUGCAUAUUUUUUUGUAUAUAUUCAUUUUUUUGUGUAGACCAAAGAAAUAAGUAUAAUUUGACUAUGUACAUAAAUUUUAUGUACCAUUAUUAACGAUAAAAGUUGAUUAUGUACAAAAUUAAUAAAUAAACAUUAUUAUGUGAUUUUUAUUUUUCAAAA